AUUGAACGCUGGCGGAAUGCUUUACACAUGCAAGUCGAGCGGCAGCGCGGGGGCAACCCUGGCGGCGAGCGGCGAACGGGUGAGUAAUACAUCGGAACGUACCCAGUAAUGGGGGAUAACACACCGAAAGGUGUGCUAAUACCGCAUACGCCCUGAGGGGGAAAGGGGGGGAUCGCAAGACCUCUCGUUAUUGGAGCGGCCGAUGGCGGAUUAGCUAGUUGGUGAGGUAAAGGCUCACCAAGGCGACGAUCCGUAGCUGGUCUGAGAGGACGGCCAGCCACACUGGAACUGAGACACGGUCCAGACUCCUACGGGAGGCAGCAGUGGGGAAUUUUGGACAAUGGGGGCAACCCUGAUCCAGCCAUUCCGCGUGAAGAAGGCCUUCGGGUUGUAAAGCUCUUUCGGCAGGAACGAAACGGCGCGCUCUAACAUAGCGUGUCAAUGACGGUACCUGAAGAAGAAGCACCGGCUAACUACGUGCCAGCCGCCGCAGUAA
rnacentral:rRNA from 1 species